rnacentral:tmRNA from 1 species
GGGGGUGAAAGGUUUCGACUUGGGUGUGCGGGUAAAAGUGGCAUGCCGCGGACGCAGGGUUGGCCGCGAUAACAAUCCUUGCAAAAAUCAAACGCUAAAAACGAGAAUGAUCGUUUAAUAGCAAGAGCUAAUGAGGUUGUUGCUUCCGUUUUCACGGGAGUAGCGCCUAUGGUUCCUGCUAUUAUGGCGCCAGUCUUCGCUCACUAAUCUGAGCGAAGCCUCAAACCGAUCUGCCUAAGGGUUGGAUUUGAGCGCUUAAUUUAGGCUGGUCUCUCCUCUUGCCUUUGGAUGAGGGAUGAGAUUUUUUUAAAGGAUAGUCCCUUAAGCAUCCCGUUUACCGGAGUUUUAAGGGAUGAAGUUAAAAGGUAACCUACGCAUGUAGAGGCUUUUACGCAAGCGCUUAAGGACGCGGCUUCAAUGCCGCCACCUCCACUA